GACGAACGCUGGCGGCGUGCUUAACACAUGCAAGUCGAACGGUGAAGCGCCUUCCUUUUUGGUGGGUGUGGAUGAGUGGCGAACGGGUGAGUAACACGUGAGUAACCUGCCCCCUUCUUCUGGAUAACCGCAUGAAAGCGUGGCUAAUACGGGAUAUUCUGGGUCUGUCGCAUGAUGGGUCUGGGAAAGAUUUUGUUUCGGUGGGGGAUGGGCUCGCGGCCUAUCAGCUUGUUGGGGGGGUGAUGGCCUACCAAGGCGGUGAGGGGUAGCCGGCCUGGGAGGGUGGACGGUCACACGAGGAGGGGGGCACGGCCCGGGCUCCUACGGGAGGCAGCAGUGGGGAAUAGGGGACAGUGGGGGCAAGCCUGAUGCAGCGACGCAGCGUGAGGGAUGGAGGCCUUCGGGUUGUGAACCUCUUUCGCCAGUGAAGCAGGCCUGCCUCGUUUGUGGGUGGGUUGACGGUAGCUGGAGAAGAAGCGCCGGCUAACUACGUG
rnacentral:rRNA from 1 species